rnacentral:rRNA from 1 species
AUGGGGGGACCAUCCUCCAAGGCUAAAUACUCCUGACUGACCGAUAGUGAACCAGUACCGUGAGGGAAAGGCGAAAAGAACCCCGGCGAGGGGAGUGAAAAAGAACCUGAAACCGUGUACGUACAAGCAGUGGGAGCACAGAGCAAUCUGUGUGACUGCGUACCUUUUGUAUAAUGGGUCAGCGACUUAUAUUCUGUAGCAAGGUUAACCGAAUAGGGGAGCCGAAGGGAAACCGAGUCUUAACUGGGCGUUAAGUUGCAGGGUAUAGACCCGAAACCCGGUGAUCUAGCCAUGGGCAGGUUGAAGGUUGGGUAACACUAACUGGAGGACCGAACCGACUAAUGUUGAAAAAUUAGCGGAUGACUUGUGGCUGGGGGUGAAAGGCCAAUCAAACCGGGAGAUAGCUGGUUCUCCCCGAAAGCUAUUUAGGUAGCGCCUCGUGAAUUCAUCUCCGGGGGUAGAGCACUGUUUCGGCAAGGGGGUCAUCCCGACUUACCAACCCGAUGCAAACUGCGAAUACCGGAGAAUGUUAUCACGGGAGACACACGGCGGGUGCUAACGUCCGUCGUGAAGAGGGAAACAACCCAGACCGCCAGCUAAGGUCCCAAAGUCAUGGUUAAGUGGGAAACGAUGUGGGAAGGCCCAGACAGCCAGGAUGUUGGCUUAGAAGCAGCCAUCAUUUAAAGAAAGCGUAAUAGCUCACUGGUCGAGUCGGCCUGCGCGGAAGAUGUAACGGGGCUAAACCAUGCACCGAAGCUGCGGCAGCGACGCUUAUGCGUUGUUGGGUAGGGGAGCGUUCUGUAAGCCUGCGAAGGUGUGCUGUGAGGUAUGCUGGAGGUAUCAGAAGUGCGAAUGCUGACAUAAGUAACGAUAAAGCGGGUGAAAAGCCCGCUCGCCGGAAGACCAAGGGUUCCUGUCCAACGUUAAUCGGGGCAGGGUGAGUCGACCCCUAAGGCGAGGCCGAAAGGCGUAGUCGAUGGGAAACAGGUUAAUAUUCCUGUACUUGGUGUUACUGCGAAGGGGGGACGGAGAAGGCUAUGUUGGCCGGGCGACGGUUGUCCCGGUUUAAGCGUGUAGGCUGGUUUUCCAGGCAAAUCCGGAAAAUCAAGGCUGAGGCGUGAUGACGAGGCACUACGGUGCUGAAGCAACAAAUGCCCUGCUUCCAGGAAAAGCCUCUAAGCAUCAGGUAACAUCAAAUCGUACCCCAAACCGACACAGGUGGUCAGGUAGAGAAUACCAAGGCGCUUGAGAGAACUCGGGUGAAGGAACUAGGCAAAAUGGUGCCGUAACUUCGGGAGAAGGCACGCUGAUAUGUAGGUGAAGUCCCUCGCGGAUGGAGCUGAAAUCAGUCGAAGAUACCAGCUGGCUGCAACUGUUUAUUAAAAACACAGCACUGUGCAAACACGAAAGUGGACGUAUACGGUGUGACGCCUGCCCGGUGCCGGAAGGUUAAUUGAUGGGGUUAGCGCAAGCGAAGCUCUUGAUCGAAGCCCCGGUAAACGGCGGCCGUAACUAUAACGGUCCUAAGGUAGCGAAAUUCCUUGUCGGGUAAGUUCCGACCUGCACGAAUGGCGUAAUGAUGGCCAGGCUGUCUCCACCCGAGACUCAGUGAAAUUGAACUCGCUGUGAAGAUGCAGUGUACCCGCGGCAAGACGGAAAGACCCCGUGAACCUUUACUAUAGCUUGACACUGAACAUUGAGCCUUGAUGUGUAGGAUAGGUGGGAGGCUUUGAAGUGUGGACGCCAGUCUGCAUGGAGCCGACCUUGAAAUACCACCCUUUAAUGUUUGAUGUUCUAACGUUGACCCGU